AGACAACUUAGGAACCAAUACACACUGCACAUGUCUCUUUCUGAAAUGUUCUCCGCCUUAGUUUUUAUGAGAGAGUGAAAGCACAGUUCUGUAAUAUAUGAAGAAAUCUGUGGAUUCUGUAGAGACAGGAACAGCGUGACAUAAAUCUCAGGAAGGCAUCUUAUUUCACAAAUUUCCCAUUUGAUUCCUGCUAUUGUGUGAGGCUGGGCUCUUCAUCUCUAUCAAAAUCAGUCUGGAAGCCUUCUGAGAUUGCCUCUAGAAAAGCCAAUACUCCCGCGGAUUGGACCACAGAUGCUAUAACCAAACUGAGAAUCAGAAACGCUAAGUAACUUGCCCAAGAAUGCAUAGUAAUAAAAGAUGGAGUUUCACUCUUGUUGCCUGGACUGGAGUGCAAUGGCGUGAUCUCAGCUCACGGCCCACGGAAUUACUGGGUUCAAGUGAUUCUCCUGCCUCAGCCUCCCGAGUAACUGGGAUUACAGGAAUGCACCACCACCCCCAGCUAAUUUUGUAUUUUUAGUAGAGAUGGGAUUUCUCCAUUUUGGUCAGGCUGGUCUCAAACUCCUGACCUCAGGUGACACCACUGACUUGUCCUGAUCUGGAGAGGCUCUGGCUUGCUCAGCCUGCUGUUGAGUUUGCAAUGAGAGUGUAAAGUCAAGACAGCUACAGAUGCUAACAGGACAUGGACACCUUUUCAGAUAACUGACUUCAUCUGUCUGCCUGUUUAUGUGGAGAGCUGAUUAUCAGCCAUGUGCAAAUACUGGGGAACCGAUCUGAUCUCUGUGAUGUUUUACACUACAGGCGGAGCAGAGCCAUCUUUCUAUCCAACAUUCACUCAGCGAGAGUCUCACUCUGUUGCUCAGGCUGGAGUGCAGUGUCAUGAUCUUGGCUCGCUGCAACCUCCACCUUCCAGGAUCAAGUGAUUCUCAUGCCUCAGCCUCCCAAGUAACUGGGAUUACAGCCUACUUACCUGUGGUGACCCUGGAUUCUGUACAACUGAUUUGUUGAUACAGAAGAGAGUCAUGCAAACUACAGAAAUCCACCCAAAACCGAGAGAAGGAGAGUAUCUGUUUUCAGAGGAGCUGUCUGCUUUGGGAGGAAGUUCCAGAAGUGAGCCUCAGGAAUUACAACAUUAAUUGAGAAACUGAAUGAUUAAAAUUGUAGUAACAAAUAGCUUUCCUUGGAACUGUCCCAGAAUCUAUUAUUUUUUUUUCCUUUUCUGUCAUUAACAAAAACACCAA
ensembl:lncRNA LINC01830 long intergenic non-protein coding RNA 1830